rnacentral:pre_miRNA from 1 species
AGGAGGAUCAGCCCCAGUGGCGGUGCAGCUCUGGAAACCUGGAUUCAGCUCCGGCAGGAACUCCGUCUGCAGGGCCUGGAGGCUCCGGGGCGGG